AGUGAACGCUGGCGGCAGGCCUAAUACAUGCAAGUCGAACGGCAGCACAGCAGAGCUUGCUCUGUGGGUGGCGAGUGGCGGACGGGUGAGGAAUACAUGGGAAUCUGCCCAGUCGUGGGGGAUAACGUAUGGAAACGUACGCUAAUACCGCAUGCGCCCUACAGGGGAAAGCCGGGGACCGCAAGGCCUGGCGCGAUUGGAUGAGCCCAUGUUCGAUUAGCUAGUUGGCGGGGUAAAGGCCCACCAAGGCGACGAUCGAUAGCUGGUCUGAGAGGAUGAUCAGCCACACUGGAACUGAGACACGGUCCAGACUCCUACGGGAGGCAGCAGUAGGGAAUAUUGGACAAUGGGGGCAACCCUGAUCCAGCCAUGCCGCGUGAGUGAAGAAGGCCCUCGGGUUGUAAAGCUCUUUUGUCCGGAAAGAAAAGCAUCUGGUUAAUACCCGGGUGUUCUGACGGUACCGGAAGAAUAAGCACCGGCUAACUUCGUG
rnacentral:rRNA from 1 species